CUUUCCCUGCCUUUUCCAGCUUCUAGAAGCUGCCUGUAUGCGUUGGCUCAUGGCCCCUUCCAUCUUCAAAGCCGGUACCUGCAUCGCUCCCGUCUCUUGCUUCCGUUGUCACAUCUCCUUCUCUGGCCUCCCUCUUUCACUUGUAAGGACCCUUGUGAGGACAUUGGGCCAUCCAGAUCAUCCAGGGUAAUCUCCUCAUCUCCAGAUCCUUAACUUACUCACCUUUGCAAAGUCCUUUUUGCCACAUGAAGUAGCAAAGGCGAACAGGUGCACAGGGAGACAAAGGCCUCUGCCCGCAAAUUCAAGCACUGUCUGGACCUUUGAUGCUAUUAAGCAAUUAUUACUACCUCUUGCGGUCUGCUAAUGAUACUGUGGUUGUCUUUACAGAGUCCUUACGUUUAGAGAUACCUUCUGAAAUAGUUCUGGAUGAACUGAUACAGUGUCUGGGAUUUGCCUCAAAAUAAUCGACUGAUGAGAGGAGCAGUGGUUGGGGUGUAGACGAAGCGAGAUCAGCUCUGCCCUCAGAGAGGCCCACACACCAGGGACCUGAGAGUGGCCCCCUGGCCAACAGCCAGCCAGGAAAUGCAUCCUGCCAGCAGCCACCUGGUGAGCUUAGCAGAGGCUCAUUUUCCCUGCUGAGCUGGGACAACUUCAGCUUCAUUCAAUUCCUGACCUCUGGAACCCGUGAGAUGAUAAAUGCUGUCGUUGUCAACUGUUACAUUUGGGGAAUAAUUUGUUAUACAGAUUCGCCGACUAAUGCAGGCCAGGAGCUUGGGUGGAAGGGCCGGGAGACGAGAAAAUGGAACCCCAGAGAAGCUAAGCAAUUCGGUCAAAGUCACACAGACAGUGGAGCCAGGAUUUGGACCCAGGCAUUUCAGUUCCAGACUCCACAACUUAACCACCAAGCUACACUGUCUUUCCAUUACUGCCUGAUGAAGACGUCUAGCACAGUGUCUGGCAAACAGUAGGAGCUCAAUAAAUGGAAGGAGUUAUUUACCCCAGAGAAGGCUAGGACACAGCAG
rnacentral:lncRNA from 1 species